rnacentral:rRNA from 1 species
UACGGGGGGGGCAAGCGUUGUUCGGAAUUACUGGGCGUAAAGGGCUCGUAGGCGGCCAACUAAGUCGGACGUGAAAUCCCUCGGCUUAACCGGGGAACUGCAUCCGAUACUGGAGGGCUUGAGUUUGGGAGAGGGAUGCGGAAUUCCAGGUGUAGCGGUGAAAUGCGUAGAUAUCGCUUGGAACGCCGAAGGUGAAAACAGGUCGCUGGGAGUGCGCCGACGCUGAGACACGAAAGCCAGGGGAGCAAACGGG